GAUACAUUUGCUUUCUUUUUAUUAUCUACAUAUUUUCAAAAUAAAAUUCAAACACACUCGUGUAAAAAUUUAAUCAUCAUCUCAUAAACGGAGAAGUAAGUUUCUUCUUUCCAUUUGGUGCUUUUUUUAAUUCUCUGUGCCUUUGGUUCCAUUGUCUCUCCAAUAACUUCCAAAUAGAUUUUGUGCAGCCGUCCAGUGCGUUGCUAAGCAUAUACAGUGUAAGUAGGCUUGUUUGUUUCAAUUUCAAACAAUGCUGAGAAUUAGAUAUAGUUAUCUAUAUAUAAUCUUUAUCUGUAUAUUCUAAAAUGUAUAUAUAGAUUAUCUUAUAUAUACACAUAUUU
rnacentral:lncRNA from 1 species